rfam:Tupaia chinensis contig238460, whole genome shotgun sequence.
UCGCUUUCGAAGCACAUAUACUAAAAUUGGAACGAUACAGAGGAGAUUAGCAUGGCCUCUGCACAAAGAUGACAUGCAAAUUUGAGAGUCGUCCCACAUUUUU